rnacentral:rRNA from 1 species
GACGAACGCUGGCGGCGUGCUUAACACAUGCAAGUCGAGCGGAAAGGCCCUUUCGGGGGUACUCGAGCGGCGAACGGGUGAGUAACACGUGAGUAAUCUGCCCCUGGCUUUGGGAUAGCCACCGGAAACGGUGAUUAAUACCGGAUACGACCACUUCUCGCAUGGGAUGGUGGUGGAAAGUUUUUCGGCCAGGGAUGUGCUCGCGGCCUAUCAGCUUGAUGGUGAGGUAAUGGCUCACCAUGGCUUCGACGGGUAGCCGGCCUGAGAGGGUGACCGGUCAAACUGGGACUGGGACACGGCCCAGACUCCUACGGGAGGCAGCAGUGGGGAAUAUUGGACAAUGGGCGGAAGCCUGAUCCAGCAACGCCGCGUGGGGGAUGACGGCCUUCGGGUUGUAAACCUCUUUCAGCAGGGACGAAGCGCAAGUGACGGUACCUGCAGAAGAAGCACCGGCCAACUACGUGCCAGCCGCCGCCGUAA